rnacentral:rRNA from 1 species
UAGGGAAUCUUCGGCAAUGGACGAAAGUCUGACCGAGCAACGCCGCGUGAGUGAAGAAGGUCUUCGGAUCGUAAAACUCUGUUGUUAGAGAAGAACAAGGACGUUAGUAACUGAACGUCCCUUGACGGUAUCUAACCAGAAAGCCACGGCUAACUACGUGCCAGCAGCCGCGGUAAUACGGAGGUGGCAAGCGUUGUCCGGAUUUAUUGGGCGUAAAGCGAGCGCAGGCGGUUUCUUAAGUCUGAUGUGAAAGCCCCCGGCUCAACCGGGGAGGGGCAUUGGAAACUGCAAGACUUGAGUGCAGGAGAGGGGAGUGGAAUUCCAGGUGUAGCGGUGAAAUGCGUAGAUAUAUGGAGGAACACCAGUGGCGAAGGCGGCUUUCUGGUCUGAAACUGACACUGAGGCUCGAAAGCGUGGGGAGCAAACAGG